UGACUUGCUUAUGGUUCCAAGAUUGAUAACAGGUUCAUUGACUCCUGGUCUGGAGUUCCCUCAGGAGCCAAUUCUGUCCUCCUUGCAGGGCUCAGUAUGAGACUCCCCACAGCUGCUCAAGGACUCCAAAGAGAGACUCUCAGAGAAUUCAAGAACAUGGUUUGCUCCUGAAGAGGAACUCUGUAGCUUCCUGCCAAGAAUAAAUUUUUCU
rnacentral:lncRNA from 1 species